CCGCUGAGCCACCCAGGUGUCCCUCAAAGUAAUUUUCUUAAACUUAAUCAUUUGGAGAAGGAUAGCACUAGAACAAUAGGUUGAGACAUAAGACAUAAGAAUGGUUCAGCCUAUAAAGAAAGAUAUUUGCUGUUUUCACUGCAGACCCUCACCCUAAAUUUGUUCACCAUUUAUGAGAAUAGUGUAACUAUUAAAUAUCUGAUAUAAUUAGAAUUGGCUACUAUGGACAGACUGCCCACGUGUACUCAUUCUCAUAAGAACCCUAUGAAAUGUCGAUGAGAAAAUUGAGGCUCAGAGAAAUUAAAUAACUUUCAUGUAUUUAGUCAGCUAGUGACAGAGUUUGGACUUAUUCCUAGAUCCAGCAAUACAAAAUGAAAUAAGGAAAGGGUGAAUAAAAAAUGCCAGAAGUUAACCAAGUUUUGGGGUCAUUAUGAGGUCAUUGAAGUUUAGAUUUCUGAAUCAAGAUCCCAUGGUUCCAGUUUGCACAUGUUCUUUACAGAACAAAAUGAGGUUGAGGUACCCCGGAGUAAUGUCAUUUGCUUCCUCCUCCUUCUCUAAGUUUAGACUCGCUUCUGGUAUAAAAUCAUUGGGUUGAUUGAAGAAAGAUCAAGAUGUCAUUUUAGGAUUUCAGAACACCAAGAAACUCCAGUUGUAAACUGUUCGAAUUCAAGAAGCCUGGGGGUGGAGAGAGAUUUUAUUUAUUCAUUCAGAAGAGACACCAGAGAGAGAGAGAGGCAGAGACAGGAGAAGCAGGUUCCAUGCAAGGAGCCCGAUACAGGACUCAAUCCCGGGACUCCAGGAUCACGCUCUGAGCCGAAGGCAGAUAGACGCUCAACCACUGAGCCACCCAUAAGUCCCUCCCAAAUUAAAGAGGAAUUUAAUUUCAAUAAGAUUUGAAUAAUAGCACUUCUAUGACUGCCUGAAAUAAUGACAGAUCAGUAAUUAUAGGAGGAAAACAAAUCUUGUGAGUCUUGGGUUAUAGAUCAUUAUUUAUCCAAAAAAAUUAAUAGCACAAAUGUUUUGUUGUUAAAAUGAAAACUUGCAUGCUUCAGGUACCACCAUACAUAAAAAGUGGUAAUUUUGCCAUUCAGUUACAUCACUUUCUGUUUGUCUCCAGACAGGGUUCAGCAACUUCAUAGGCAUGGGCCUAGGUCCAAUAUCUUUCUCAGCAAAGAGAUCUUGCAAUCAUCUCAAAGAGUCAUACAAGUACUGGUUAAGAACCGAGUAUUCUGUAUCAUUUAAUAUGAAAUAUAACUUUAAAAAAUAUUUUGUUCUGCCUUGUCCCAAGAGAAAACUCUAUGGCUGUCUUGUUAGGUAGAGUUAUUUUGAGGUAAAUGUUGGCUCUUUGCCAAAUAUGACUGUUUUGGUUGAUAUAAUUUCUCAUUCCGAUGUCCUCUCUUGUAAACUAGGAAUAAUGAUGAUGAUAACCAAUUUUAUAGGAUUGCUUUGAAGAUUAAAUGCAAUAAUAUAAAGUGUUUAGAACAAUGUCUGGCAUAGAGAAAGCACUCAAUAAAUGUUAGUUCUUAUUACUAAUAUUGUUUGACAGAAACUGGCCAACUAGCCGACCCAUUAAAACACUCCUACUUAGAAAUGUUAAGUCAUAUUAUCACUGCAAAAUCAGUAUGUUUGACCUCCUGCCCACUGUAGCAAGAAUGCAUGUAUCCAGUUGAACUUGAAGUUGUACUCUUUUUAAAAAGGCAUGAAAACAUGUUUAUCUUUUAAUUUGUCAUGAAAGUAUGCCUUUUACUCUCUUUCUUUAUAUAUAUACACAUAAAUAGCAAACAUAAAUAUCUGUAUGUAUUGCCAUGCUUGUCUUUUUACUUUUUAAUUAUUUAUUUUGCUGUCUUUUUAACUGAUAUAAAAACCUGAGUUUUUUUAACCAGAAACUCCCAUUUCUUAGUGAGAUGGACUCAUGUGAUCUGAAACCUGCUUUCUCUUGGGCAAGUUUUUAGUUUGAAAGCUGAGUAAUGUGAUUAGUUCAGAAAAUAAUUAAAAUUGGUCUGUAAAUCUGAGACCUAAGAUAUUUGCCUUUUGAGGAUUUAAAUGACUGUAUUUUUAGCUAUCCUAAGAGAGUUGUGCCUGGAGUUUACCAAGGUAAAUGAAUAUAUUAGAGUAGGACAAAUCCUAAAUAGCUUAAUAUCCAAAAAGGACAUAGUUCUCAAACCGCCCCCCCCCUUUUUUUUUUAAGAUUUUAUUUAUUUAUU